rnacentral:rRNA from 1 species
GACGAACGCUGGCGGCGUGCUUAACACAUGCAAGUCGAACGGAAAGGCCCUGCUUUUGUGGGGUGCUCGAGUGGCGAACGGGUGAGUAACACGUGAGUAACCUGCCCUUGACUUUGGGAUAACUUCAGGAAACUGGGGCUAAUACCGGAUAGGAGCUCCUGCUGCAUGGUGGGGGUUGGAAAGUUUCGGCGGUUGGGGAUGGACUCGCGGCUUAUCAGCUUGUUGGUGGGGUAGUGGCUUACCAAGGCUUUGACGGGUAGCCGGCCUGAGAGGGUGACCGGCCACAUUGGGACUGAGGUACGGCCCAGACUCCUACGGGAGGCAGCAGUGGGGAAUAUUGCACAAUGGGCGGGAGCCUGAUGCAGCAACGCCGCGUGCGGGAUGACGGCCUUCGGGGUGUAAACCGCUUUCGCCUGUGACGAAGCGUGAGUGACGGUAAUGGGUAAAGAAGCACCGGCUAACUACGUG